rnacentral:lncRNA from 1 species
CAGAUGUGAUGACUUCCCUAUUCGGAUGCCUGCGAGCUUGCACACUCGUGUACGGGCACACACAUACAUACGGGGAAGCCAGCUGCCAUGUUGUGAGCAACCCUAUGGAGAGACCCUCGUGGUGGGCACUGAGGCCUCUGCCAGCAAUAAGCUGAGGAGCAGAUCCUUUAUCCCACUCAAGCCUUUGGAUGACUUCAGCCUUUGCCAAGACCUUUGAGUGCAACCAUAUGAGAUAACCCAAGCCAGAAGCACUAGCUAAGCCACUCCUGGAUCCCUGCUCCUCAAAGAUUCUGUGACAUAAUAUACGUAUUUUUAAUUUAAAGUACAACACUUUGGGGGUGACUUGUUAUGCUGCAAUAGAUAACUAACAUGACCAUAUAACAAUAGGAAUAAUAACCAACAAAUCAGGUCCCUUUUCUUCAUCAGAAGGAUUUCAUGAUAUUGCUCAGGUCUAGACUUGGGUAUGGCGAUUCCAAUGGAGUGACUUCAUCCUUCUGACUCAGCAUCUAACUUCUGAUGCUACAUUGUCCAUUUACUGGAAAACUUGUUGCUUAUUCCAUGUUGCCUUCAUUAAUUGCCACUACUGAUACCUAGUACACCAGUCUCAAGAGCAGCUAUUCAGAAGACAAAGGUCUCUGAUAGAAACAGAUGUUCUGUUCAUCUUUUUUGCUGCUUAUAUUAAACCAUUGCAACAGAUUUGUUGCCUUGAUUCUGAUUGUAGAUGUUUUGCACAAAUUAUAUCCCUUUUUAAGUGGCAACAACCACUCCUAGAAUACAUACACAGCAUGAUCAAACCCUCAUCAUUUACACCUCAGUCCUGAGCCACUUGUUUUUUUUUGCUUUUUGUUUUAUGUUUUUUUUUUUGAGACGGAGCUCGCUUUGUUGUCCAGGGUGGAAUGCAGUGGCGCGAUCUCGGCUCACUGCAAGCUCCGCCUCCCGGGUUCACGCCAUUCUCCUGCGUCAGCCUCCUGAGUAGCAGGGACUACAGGUGUGUGCCAUCAUGCCCGGCUAAUUUUUUGUAUCUUUAGUAGAGACAGGGUUUCACCGUGUUAGCCAGGAUGGUCUUGAUCUUCUGACCUCGUGAUCCACCCGCCUCGGCCUCCCAAAGUGCUGGGAUUACAGGUGUGAGCCACCGCGCCUGGCCGAGCCACUUCUUCCAUCAGCCCGAUUCCUUACCUUUUUGGCCUUUUUUUCUCACCACUGGGUCCUUGUCUUAUCUCUGCUUCCCUAAUUCUGGUUUUCUAUUCUUCAGUAAAUGUCCUACUCCAUCUCACUUGGUUCUGAGAUCUUUCUCUCCUGGUGCUGUCUCCAUUGUAGAGAACUGGCCAUAUAUUCCUUGACACUGUCAGUCAGACUCAGAGAAAGUCUAGCUCUGUUGUUUGUUCUCACCUUUAAGACAUUGCCUCUGAGUGUCUGGUUCUAAACAAUGCCCUGUCUCUCUUGAUUCUUCCAGAUGCCCCAUGUGGAAUUAUUCAGCCAUCAUUAGUCUGGGCCAGGGUGGCUUCUGCACCUGUCUUCAUCCUCAGAUAUUUUCAGCUUUAUCUUGUUGUUUAUAUCAGAAACCCUUGUUGUUGAUGAUGUUCUUUUCUAAAUGUAGACUGCAAUGGUUCUCAAUCAUGACUGGCGUUAAAAUCUCCUGAAGAAAAAAAGAGAAUGCUUACAUACUAUUGGCGGUAAUGUAAAUU